GAUGAACGCUAGCGACAGGCUUAACACAUGCAAGUCGAGGGGCAGCGGGGUAGUGCUUGCACUACUGCCGGCGACCGGCGCACGGGUGAGUAACACGUAUGGAACCUGCCCGCAGCAGGGGGAUAAGCGGAAGAAAUUCCGUCUAAUACCGCGUAACAACGUUGGGAGGCAUCUCCCGAUGUUUAAAGAUUUAUCGGCUGCGGAUGGCCAUGCGGCGCAUUAGCUAGUCGGCGGGGUAACGGCCCACCGAGGCGACGAUGCGUAGGGGUUCUGAGAGGAAGGUCCCCCACACUGGUACUGAGACACGGACCAGACUCCUACGGGAGGCAGCAGUGAGGAAUAUUGGUCAAUGGCCGAGAGGCUGAACCAGCCAAGUCGCGUGAGGGAAGACGGCCCUACGGGUUGUAAACCUCUUUUGUCGGGGAGCAAAGCGAACCACGUGUGGUUCAUUGAGAGUACCCGAAGAAAAAGCAUCGGCUAACUCCGUGCCAGCAGCCGCGGUAAUACGGAGGAUGCGAGCGUUAUCCGGAUUUAUUGGGUUUAAAGGGUGCGCAGGCGGAGGUGCAAGUCAGCGGUCAAAUUGCGGGGCUCAACCCCGUACUGCCGUUGAAACUGCAUCCCUUGAGUGCGCGAGAAGUAUGCGGAAUGCGUGGUGUAGCGGUGAAAUGCAUAGAUAUCACGCAGAACUCCGAUUGCGAAGGCAGCAUACCGGCGCGCAACUGACGCUCAUGCACGAAAGCGUGGGUAUCGAACAGGAUUAGAUACCCUGGUAGUCCACGCAGUAAACGAUGAACACUAACUGUUCGGCCAGAAUGAUGGCUGAGUGGUACAGCGAAAGCGUUAAGUGUUUCCACCUGGGGAGUACGCCGGCAACGGUGAAACUCAAAGGAAUUGACGGGGGCCCGCACAAGCGGAGGAACAUGUGGUUUAAUUCGAUGAUACGCGAGGAACCUUACCCGGGCUCAAACGACACAGGAAUACUUUUGAAAGGAGGUAGCCCUACGGGGUCUGUGUCGAGGUGCUGCAUGGUUGUCGUCAGCUCGUGCCGUGAGGUGUCGGCUUAAGUGCCAUAACGAGCGCAACCCCUAUCGCCAGUUACCAUCAAGUAAAGUUGGGGACUCUGGCGAGACUGCCGGCGCAAGCUGAGAGGAAGGCGGGGAUGACGUCAAAUCAGCACGGCCCUUACGUCCGGGGCGACACACGUGUUACAAUGGCAGGUACAGAGAGAAGCCAGGUGGCGACACCGCGCGGAACUCGAAAGCCUGUCUCAGUUCGGAUCGGAGUCUGCAACCCGACUCCGUGAAGCUGGAUUCGCUAGUAAUCGCGCAUCAGCCAUGGCGCGGU
rnacentral:rRNA from 1 species